AUCCAGCAGAUAUAACGGACACGCUGCUGGAUCGGAGCUUGUAAUUGAAGUGAUCGCAGAUACUCUCCGUUCUACUGCGAGCGCAAACAGCAAUCAAUGAGCACUAAAAAUGGCCGUCUCUCAGUUGCACGAGAUCUCAGCUCCAUUUCUGCGUCACUUCCUAAACACUCACGUUUUUUUACACGAUGACGUCGAUGAUCCUGGUAAUGACGAGGGUGCUGCUUUUCUUUCCUUAUAACCACAACAAGAGGUCAAGAGACUCACCACACCACAACAAGAGGUCAAGAGACUCACCACUCCACCUCCUGCUGAGUGCACCAGUACAGACAUUCCCUCCCGGAGAUUUGCCACUUCAAACAGCAUCAUGUAAGCAGCUACAAAGUUCAUGAAGAACGCAGCUGCUUCAGAAAAAGUCAUCUCAUCAGGGGUCACCACAGUGGAUCCUGAGCAUCUGCCCUGUCCUGACCAUCCUCUUUAUUCACACCAGCCUCCUGCAUGUCCUCCCUCACCACAACCAUAAACCUCCUCUUAGACCUUUCUCUCCACAGCGGAUAAUUUUCUUUUAUUACCAACAAGCAGUAUUUUGUAGGAGAGGAACUUAAUAUUGUUUCCUUCAUACAUGUAUAUUUUUAGAAUCCUGAAACCUCUUUGGUUCACUUACAAGAUAAAUGAUUCACUAUAUGGCACAUGUAAGUAGACACCCCUGUACACCAGUGGAUUUGGUUAUUUUAGUCACAACCAUUGCUCUCAGUAGUUUCAAAUCAAGCACACGGCAAUGCGAUCUUCAUAGUCAAACACUAGCAGAAGAACGGGUCUUACUGAGGAGCUUAGCAACAUUCAGCGUGGCACUUUAAUAGAUGGAAGUAUUCCAGCAAGUCAGUUUAUUAGAAUUCCACCCUGCUGACAUGAAAUCUUCUGUUCUGAAAUGCAACACUCAUCACUAAGUUCCAACUGAGCACAAUACUAUUGGACUCGAUUGGGGCGAUUAAAGCACUUCCCUGAAUCAUACUUGCAGGUUUGUUCAGCAAAUGUCAUGAGUGCUUUAUCAAACUAGCAUAGUACAACACUGACACUGCCAUACAAUCCCAUAAUAAAAACUAUUUUAAAGAGACAUAUUUAUAUUCAUUAUGUCUUCUUAUUCCAAAAUCAAAUUCAACUCAUCCUACUAAGCAUUGACAUGCAUGCCACAUAGUAUUGCUAGGUUAGAUGAUUAGUUCUAUUAUACUGCUAUUGUCACCUGUUUUGUGUUUGUUUACACUGCAUAGGUGUCUGUGUGAGCCAAACAUACCUCAAAUCCCUUAGUAUUUCCUCCUACAGCUUCCACUAUUCCAGAACAUUCAAAUCCAGGCACUAGAGGGGUUUUAGGAGGAUUAUCAAUAUUUCCUUGACGCACCAUCAGGUCCAGAAAAUUCAGCCCACUGGAAAAUAUUAAAGAUUAUAAUCUCAGAGCUGAUCAAUUGAUCAAAUGUCAUGUUAAAUUUGUUAAUUGUACAUUUCAAAAUGUGUGAUAAAUGAUGUGUAUUUUUGCAGUUACUUUAUUUUGGGGUGCCACAAAAUUACAUUUUGCAAUCUUAUAA